rnacentral:rRNA from 1 species
UACGAAGGGGGCUAGCGUUGCUCGGAAUCACUGGGCGUAAAGCGCACGUAGGCGGAUUGCUAAGUCAGGGGUGAAAUCCUGGAGCUCAACUCCAGAACUGCCUUUGAUACUGGCGACCUUGAGUCCGGAAGAGGAGAGUGGAAUUCCUGGUGUAGCGGUGAAAUGCGCAGAUAUCAGGAAGAACACCCGUGGCGAAGGCGGCUCUCUGGGACGGUACUGACGCUGAGACGCGAAAGCGUGGGGAGCGAACAGG